CGCGUAGGCGGCUUGUCGGGUCUGAUGUGAAAGCCCGGGGCUCAACCCCGGAAGUGCAUUGGAAACUGGCAAGCUUGAGUUCGGAAGAGGAGGGCAGAAUUCCUGGUGUAGGGGUGGAAUCCGUAGAUAUCAGGAGGAAAACCAGUGGCGAAGGCGGCCCUCUGGGACGAAACUGACGCUAAGGCGCGAAAGCGUGGGGAGCAAACA
rnacentral:rRNA from 1 species